rnacentral:rRNA from 1 species
UUGGAGGGCAAGUCUGGUGCCAGCAGCCGCGGUAAUUCCAGCUCCAAUAGCGUAUGUUAAAGUUGUUGCAGUUAAAAAGCUCGUAGUUGAAUUUCGGGAUUGGCGCAUCGGUCGUGCCUCACGGGGUAUGAACUGGUGCAGUCAAUUUCUCACCUUCUGGAGAACCGCGAUGUCCUUAAUUGGAUGCCACGGGGAACCAGGACCUUUACUUUGAAAAAAUUAGAGUGUUUAAAGCAGGCAUUUUUGCUUGAAUACAUUAGCAUGGAAUAAUAAAAUAGGACGACAUGGUUCUAUUUUGUUGGUUUCUAGGACCACCGUAAUGAUUAAUAGGGAUAGUUGGGGGCAUUAGUAUUCAAUUGUCAGAGGUGAAAUUCUUGGAUUUAUUGAAGACUAACUACUGCGAAAGCAUUUGCCAAGGAUGUUUCCAUUAAUCAAGAACGAAAGUUAGGGGAUCGAAGACGAUCAGAUACCGUCGUAGUCUUAACCAUAAACUAUGCCGACUAGGAAUCAGACGAUGUUAAUUUUUUAAUGACUCGUUUGGCACCUUACGGGAAACCAAAGUGUUUGGGAWUC